rnacentral:rRNA from 1 species
GAUCCUGGCUCAGGAUGAACGCUAGCUACAGGCUUAACACAUGCAAGUCGAGGGGCAUCAGUUUGGUUUGCUUGCAAACCAAAGCUGGCGACCGGCGCACGGGUGAGUAACACGUAUCCAACCUACCUCAUACUCGGGGAUAGCCUUUCGAAGAAAGAUUAAUAUCCGAUAGCAUAUAUUUCCCGCAGUUGGGUUUUAUUAAUUAAAAGUAAAGUUACGGUUAGUGAGAGUGGGGAGUGUCGUUCCUAUUAGUUUGGGUUGGGGGGUACCGGG